rnacentral:snRNA from 1 species
ACACUUACCUGGCAGAGGAGAUACCCUGAUCACUCAUUUUCCCAGUGGGAGGCUCAUCCAUUGCACUUCGGACAUGCUGCCCCCAGCGAUUCCUCAAAUGUGGAGAGCACGAGGGCAAAGUUGGUGGUAGUUAAGAAAUGCAUUCACGCUUUCCCCAC